GAUCCGUGGCUCAGGAUGAACGCUGGCGGCGUGCUUAACACAUGCAACGUCGAACGAAGCGCAUUGGUUAGAAUUCUACGGGAAGGAAGAUAAUGUGACUGAGUGGCGGACGGGUGAGUAACGCGUGGGUAACCUGCCAUGUACAGGGGGACAACAGUUGGAAACGGCUGCUAAUACCGCAUAAGCGCACGAGAUUGCAUGAUCUAGUGUGAAAAACUCCGGUGGUAUAUGAUGGACCCGCGUCUGAUUAGCUAGUUGGUAAGGUAACGGCUUACCAAGGCGACGAUCAGUAGCCGACCUGAGAGGGUGACCGGCCACAUUGGGACUGAGACACGGCCCAGACUCCUACGGGAGGCAGCAGUGGGGAAUAUUGCACAAUGGGCGAAAGCCUGAUUGCAGCGACGCCGCGUGAACGAAGAAGUUAUUUCGGUAUGUAAAGUUCUAUCAGCAGGGAAGAAGAAAUGACGGUACCUGACUAAGAAGCCCCGGCUAACUACGUGCCAGCAGCCGC
rnacentral:rRNA from 1 species